GCUGUGCAAUUGCAUCUGGAGGAAAUUAAAAAUCUAACAGAAAAAGAAGUUCAGAAAAUGGAAUUGUUGAAAAAUAUUGCAACUGCAAUGGAAUUACAACGGAAAGAAUUACCAAUGGAGAGUA